GACGAACGCUGGCGGCGUGCCUAAUACAUGCAAGUAGAACGCUGAAGGAGGAGCUUGCUUCUCUGGAUGAGUUGCGAACGGGUGAGUAACGCGUAGGUAACCUGCCUGGUAGCGGGGGAUAACUAUUGGAAACGAUAGCUAAUACCGCAUAAUAGCAGUUAUUGCAUGAUAACUGUUUGAAAGGUGCAAUUGCACCACUACCAGAUGGACCUGCGUUGUAUUAGCUAGUUGGUGGGGUAACGGCUCACCAAGGCGACGAUACAUAGCCGACCUGAGAGGGUGAUCGGCCACACUGGGACUGAGACACGGCCCAGACUCCUACGGGAGGCAGCAGUAGGGAAUCUUCGGCAAUGGACGGAAGUCUGACCGAGCAACGCCGCGUGAGUGAAGAAGGUUUUCGGAUCGUAAAGCUCUGUUGUAAGAGAAGAACGAGUGUGAGAGUGGAAAGUUCACACUGUGACGG
rnacentral:rRNA from 1 species